AGUGAAUAGAUACCCAGGUAGUCCACGCCGUAAACGAUGAAUGUUAGCCGUCGGGCAGUUUACUGUUCGGUGGCGCAGCUAAACGCAUUAAACAUUCCGCCUGGGGAGUACGGUCGCAAGAUUAAAACUCAAAGGAAUUGACGGGGGCCCGGCACAAGCGGUGGAGCAUGUGGUUUAAAUUCGAAGCAACGCGCAGAACCUUACCAGCCCUUGACAUCCCGAUCGCGGAUUACAGAGAUGUUUUCCUUCAGUUCGGCUGGAUCGGAGAUAGGUGCUGCAUGGCUGUCGUCAGCUCGUGUCGUGAGAUGUUGGGUUAAGUCCCGCAACGAGCGCAACCCUCGCCCUUAGUUGCCAGCAUUUGGUUGGGCACUCUAAGGGGACUGCCGGUGAUAAGCCGAGAGGAAGGUGGGGAUGACGUCAAGUCCUCAUGGCCCUUACGGGCUGGGCUACACACGUGCUACAAUGGUGGUGACAGUGGGCAGCGAGACCGCGAGGUCGAGCUGAUCUCCAAAAGCCAUCUCAGUUC
rnacentral:rRNA from 1 species